rnacentral:rRNA from 1 species
UACGUAGGGUGCAAGCGUUGUCCGGAAUUAUUGGGCGUAAAGAGCUCGUAGGCGGUCUGUCACGUCGGCUGUGAAAACCCGGGGCUCAACCCCGGGCCUGCAGUCGAUACGGGCAGACUAGAGUGUGGUAGGGGAGACUGGAAUUCCUGGUGUAGCAGUGAAAUGCGUAGAUAUCAGGAGGAAUACCGAUGGCGAAGGCAGGUCUCUGGGCUGACACUGACGCUCAUGCACGAAAGCGUGGGGAGCAAACAGG